rnacentral:SRP_RNA from 1 species
GACUGGGUCCUGCACGGCAGAACCUUCGAACCGUGUCAGGAUCGGAAGAUAGCAGCACUAAGAGGUCUCUUCUGGGUGUUGCAGGUAAUCCGGCCUGA